rnacentral:lncRNA from 1 species
UAAGAUUCACAAAACAUAACUAUAUUUUUUUCAUCACAUUCAUAGAACUUUGUUUUGUAACAUAAAAGUCACAUUUUCACCUUUAAUAACAAAAAGUUGGGUUGGGUUAAUUUGUGAUACAACUCUCUUGUUACUAUGGUGAAAGUCUUGUAAUUUUUAUAUUGUAUAAACAAGGUUAUGUGAUUUUAGAAAAAGAUAUAUGGUUGUAUGAACUUUUAUGAAAUAUAUUCAUGAUAAAUUCUUGGUCCCAUUCGUACAGUUCAGUUAAUGAAAUUGUAUAGAGAAGAAGAAGAACGGAGAAAGCAGAUUCACUAAUGAAGAAGAGGAAGAAGACAGAGGAGAGAAGAAGAUGAUUAAUCAGAAAGUAUUAUUCUGUAUAUUACGCUUGUCUAACUAACUUAAUCACCUAAUUAAUUCUUGUUGGUUGAGUAGAAUGAAAUGACUAAUUUACCCUCUAAUGAGUUAUGUAAUUCCUUUCUCAACACUCUCCAUCAAGCUAGGAAGUGCAAAGAUAUUCAAAGUUCCUAGCUUAGAAUUGAGAUAUUCAUGUUGAACACGGUUAAGUCCGUUUGUCAGAAUAUCAGCUUGUUGAUCACUUGUAGGAAUGUAUUUUAUUGUGAUCAAGCUAUGUAAGAUCUUUUCUCUAAUGA